UUGAUUAUGUAGAUUUUUUUUUUUCUCCCCUAUUGCAGUUUCAUAUGCAAAGCAUGCAUCAGCCACAUCCAUGCUAUCUCCUAAAGCAGUCAUUCUGAAACCCAAUCUGGGGACAGUGCAGACUAAAUAAAAUUUCAUUUUGAUUUGGCCUCCCGCUGAGAAUGGGACUGCUUUGUUUCAGCCGACAGAACCAGCAAGCCAGAAAGGUUUUGUUUCAAAAAUAGAGGAGCUGCUUCUGACCCAAUUGAUCAAAAAUGCUGUUCUUCAGGAAAGAGUGCAAAACGUCUUCUUUUCAAAGCAAAUGGAUUUGAGGACUGGGUCAUUGUGGUGGAGGAAGUAUUUUUAUCUGGGCCUCAGGAAACAGUGGUCUGGCUAGCAACUGCACUGGUACGGAUGAUUACAUGAACAGUAUUAACUCGGGGCAAAGCAUGCCUUCACUUACCCCUGCCCCAAAACUCCUAGACUACAAGAACUAAUCAAUGUCUGUGUCCACCUGGAAACAUCCAGUGAGCAAGGACUGUGGAAGCAACUGCCCCGAAAUGACCCUUCAAUCUGCAGUGAGUUCCCUCCAGCUGGAAUUAGGAGUCAGAAUCCCUGUCUUCUUGAAUAGCAAAAUCUGUAUAGACCGAUCACAAAGGUUACUAUUUUAUGCACAUGAGUAAUGCAGCCUCUGUAAGUUGAACGUGAUGUUAUCUCUAGAAAUGUUAUGCAUAAGCUUUAUCUUCAAAGAUAUUUCUGAACUUAACUUAUGCAUAUCUUUGCACUCAAGUUUGAUUUGAUAACCUGUCAAGAAGAUCUAAUUUGUUUGUGUUUUCCUAUGCUCUUCUCCAUACUGGGAAGUAUCAUUUGCUAACCGCACACUGGUAAAAUGAAUAUCAAGUUUAUU
ensembl:lncRNA